GGGCGAGGGGCGGCAGCUACACAUGCAAGUCGAGCGGUAGCACAGAGAGCUUGCUCUCGGGUGACGAGCGGCGGACGGGUGAGUAAUGUCUGGGAAACUGCCUGAUGGAGGGGGAUAACUACUGGAAACGGUAGCUAAUACCGCAUAACGUCGCAAGACCAAAGUGGGGGACCUUCGGGCCUCAUGCCAUCAGAUGUGCCCAGAUGGGAUUAGCUAGUAGGUGGGGUAACGGCUCACCUAGGCGACGAUCCCUAGCUGGUCUGAGAGGAUGACCAGCCACACUGGAACUGAGACACGGUCCAGACUCCUACGGGAGGCAGCAGUGGGGAAUAUUGCACAAUGGGCGCAAGCCUGAUGCAGCCAUGCCGCGUGUGUGAAGAAGGCCUUCGGGUUGUAAAGCACUUUCAGCGGGGAGGAAGGCGAUAAGGUUAAUAACCUUGUCGAUUGACGUUACCCGCAGAAGAAGCACCGGCUAACUCCGUGCAGCAGCCGCU
rnacentral:rRNA from 1 species